rnacentral:rRNA from 1 species
AGCGGCGAGCGACAGGGAGGAGCCCAGCGCCGAAUCCCUGCCGCCCCCGGCGGCAGCGAAAUGUGGCGUUCGGGAGGGUCCGUUAUUCCGGGGCUUCGCCGUGCCGAGUCCAAGUCCUUCUUGAACGGGGCCACGGUCCGUAGAGGGUGCCAGACCCGUAGCGGCCGACGGCGUCCCCGGGUGGACCUCUCCUUAGAGUCGGGUUGCUUGAGAGUGCAGCCUAAAGCGGGUGGUAAACUCCAUCUAAGGCUAAAUAUCACCACGAGACCGAUAGCCAACAAGUACCGUGAGGGAAAGUUGAAAAGAACUUUGAAGAGAGAGUUCAAUAGUACGUGAAACCGUUCAGGGGUAAACGGGGAAGACUUGAAAAUCCGAAAGGAGAGAUUCACGCCUUCCGCCGGCUACGUCAAGCCCGUCCGCGUAUGGUCGCACCCCCUCGUCCUGGCUCCGGCCCGGGCGUAGGCGGGUCGGCCAACCGGGCGGGCGAGGCGUGGCUGCGGAGCGCCGCACUUCUCUCCCAGUAGGACGUCGCGACCCGUUCGGAGGCAUGCCUGAUGCCGGGCCGUAAGUCUUGAGUCCGCCGCGGCUUUCGGGCCGUUGGCGCUUGAGUGGGCCCAGUGCAGGGCGGCGUUACGGACGGUAGUUAUAGACGGUGCCGAACCGCUCUUCGGAGCGCCUUCGGCCGCUGCCGAGUCGGUCGUCGAGGGCGGCCGCGGGCCUCAAGGGGCCCGCGCCGCUUCGCGUCCGGCUGUCGGGUGGCGGUCCUGGGGCCGAGUUCACAUCACCCGUCGGCGACGCCGCAGUUUCGAGCUCUUACCCGACCCGUCUUGAAACACGGACCAAGGAGUCCAACGUGCGCGCGAGUCGUUGGGCGUUUAAACCCAAAGGCGCAAUUAAGGUGAAGGAGGGCUCGCCCCUCCUAGGGAGGAGGGGGGCACCGCGCCUCACGGGCGGACCCCCCGCACUCCCGCGGCGUCUCAGAAUCAUCGCGAGCAGAGGCGGACAUAGAGCGUUCACGUUGGGACCAGAAAGAUGGUGAACUAUGCCUGACCAGGACGAAGCCAGGGGAAACCCUGGUGGAGGUCCGUAGCGGUUCUGACGUGCAAAUCCAUCGUCGGAGCUGGGUAUAGGGGCGAAAGACUAAUCGAACCAUCUAGUAGCUGGUUCCCUCCGAAGUUUCCCUCAGGAUAGCUGGCGCCCAGGUUGAGACGAGUCUCAUCUGGUAAAGCGAAUGAUUAGAGGCAUUGGGGUCGAAACGACCUCAACCUAUUCUCAAACUUUAAAUGGAUGAGAACCCCGGCUUGCUUGAUCGAGUGAAGCUGGGGCUCGGAUCCGGGUGCCAAGUGGGCCAUUUUUGGUAAGCAGAACUGGCGCUGUGGGAUGAACCCAACGCCGAGUUAAGGCGCCUAAAUCGACGCUCAUCAGACACCAUGAAAGGCGUUGGUUGCUUAAGACAGCAGGACGGUGGCCAUGGAAGUCGGAAUCCGCUAAGGAGUGUGUAACAACUCACCUGCCGAAGCAACUAGCCCUGAAAAUGGAUGGCGCUGUAGCGUCGUGCCUAUACUCGGCCGCCAACGGCAAACCCGGCGAGGACCUGAAAGGGUCCUGCGGCCGUUACGCCUUGGUGAGUAGGAGGGCCGCGGCGAUGCGCGCAGAAGGGUCAAGGCGUGAGCCUGCCUGGAGCCGUCGCCGGCGCAGAUCUUGGUGGUAGUAGCAAAUACUCCAGCGAGGCCCUGGAGGACUGAUGUGGAGAAGGGUUUCUUGUGAACAGCCGUUGCACAAGAGUCAGUCGGUCCUAAGCCCUAGGAGAAAUCCGAUGCCGAUGGGCGCCGUUAAACGGAGACACGCGUCUCGUCCCCGCCCCGCCGUUCCGGCGGUGCACGGGCGGGGGGGCGCGUAAAACCGGUUGGCGCCCCAGGUCGGGCGAAAGGGAAUCCGGUUCCUAUUCCGGAACCUGGCAGCGGAACCGUUCCAAGUCGUGCCCUCUGACGAGAGCUCGUCGGGGUAACCCAAAAGGACCCGGAGACGCCGUCGGGAGAUCCAGGGAGAGUUGUCUCUUCUCUAUAAGCGUUCGAGUUCCCUGGAAACCUCUAGCAGGGAGAUAGGGUUUGGAGCGCAAAGAGCACCGCAGUUACGGCGGUGUCUGGAUCUUCCCCUCGGACCUUGAAAAUCCGGGUGAGGGCUACGAGGAACACCGCGCCAGACCGUACCCAUAUCCGCAGCAGGUCUCCAAGGUCAACAGCCUCUAGUCGUUAGAAUAAUGUGGGUAAGGGAAGUCGGCAAACUGGAUCCGUAACCUUGGGAUAAGGAUUGGCUCUGAGGAUCGUGGUGAGCCGGGCUUGGUUGGGAAGUGGAGCGGUGUCAACGAUCCGGGCCUGGGCGAGGAGAGUGGCGCUCGCGCGUCUCCGAUCCUCCGCUCGGUCCCGUGACUUGGCCACCCACGGAUCUUCCUUGCUGCGAGCUGUCGGCUGCCUUGUGCUUCGGCUCCGGCCGGAGUACG